GUCACCGAGGACAUCUGGUUCGAAUGCUGUUCCUGCACCUAUGCCACCAGAGAUCAGCAUGGAAUUGUGAGGCACCUUGCUGCCCAUGGGCUUCUACUAGGCUGCGGCCGAAAGCAGAGGUUGAUUUCAAUGUCUCUUUAUGGCACCUAAGCCACGCCCCCAAAAAUCCCCUAGAGUCAACUGCUCUAACUGAAGAAACUUUGUUGUAUCUCGGGGGCUGCGGCCAAGCGGUGCUUUGAAAUCGCCGCCGCCACUACUGCGCCGCUGGGGUCAAUCCAAGAAACAAAGUAAAACUGAAGCUCUCCAGAUGCCUAAGUAGAGGUGAGAACUGAGCGAGCUCGCUGACCACGCCUUCUCUUUGUGUUUGUGCUUAUGAUGAUGAUGCAUUUUUAUUACGUACGCAAUAAAAACAAAACGUAAAAAUAUCCGACAGUAAGGAUUAGUCUUGGCAGUAUAAGAAAGAAAUACGCCCGCUACUUUGCCCAUUAAGAUCAAUUAUUGACAAAAUUGGCCCUGAACCACUUUCGUUGAACCGGUAACCGCCACAUCAGGUUAUGGUUUCGUUCCAGUUCGGGUCCAAUAUGAAGCAAUCGAUUUCGGUUUCGGUCUUGUACCGGUUUGGUCAAAACGGUUUUGAUCCGGUUUCGGGUUCGGUUCGACACCCUGUUUUUAAGGCUCUAGUGAGAGCUUAUGACUUUCUGCAUUGUUGUGCAGCCGGUCGUGAGCAGUCACAAGACGCUUAAAAGCCGGUCUUGUCUCAGUCGUAGUCAAACGCAAGUGUGUGAACGGGCCUUAAGGAAGGACACUACCUAAAAGGGUCAGCUUUUGAACCUUUGGCUUAGUAUGAAUGAAAAUCACAGUAUAUACUGGUAGUGGCGAGACAAAAUGCACUGCAAAGUUUCAUCUGUGUACAUGAAAUGUGAAGGAAAUUAUUGUUGUUUUUAUUAGAAAUGCGCUGACGUUGUUUAGGAAAAGUAUUGUUAGGAAACUAAUGUAAUACCCAACAUUUUCCUUCGCUAGAUACAAAGCAGAAUGCCCGGAGAGUGCAACUGUGAAAAAAUUCCUGGAAAGUAAUUUAUUUUAUGCUUACAUCACACUUAAAAAUCAAAUAAAUUUUUUGUGUUAUGUCGUCGACGAAACCUUAACAUUUUUUUAUAAAAGAGAUUCAUAAAGUAAAAAAAGAUAAUGCCACAGUUGCAGUGCCCAUUAAGUUCCAGUUAUGAAAAACGAGUAAGCCUUUCCUUUUGUCUAAUUACCUAACGAUAGCUUUUCUAAUCUGAAAUUUAUGCCAAAAAUGGAACAAAGAAAAAAAGCGCUCAAAGUGCUUGAAUCUCUACUUUUUCUUUAGCAUUGGUGCACCGAAAAUAAUUUUUAAAUAAUAACUAUGCAGUGCAAACAAAUAAAACAUUCUGGGAAUUUUCUCGAGGUGUUGGUGGAUUUAAACAUGGCUUUUUUCAAAAUCUACUUUUUUUUCAAAAGUUUCUUUUUCUGGGUAGUGUCCCCCAUUAAGUGGUAUGAGGUAAAUUUUUCCAAGAUUUUUCUUUUUAUGUCCUGUACCAUGCCAAGACCUUAUUCUAGCAGUUUCCUCAGUGGGGGUGUGUGUGGUUUCACCAUAACACUUCCCUUUAGUGGUUCGGACAUUGCUAUUUGAAUAUUCCUUGCACAGUCCAGCAGGUUUUGCUAUAAAUUGGCACUGUACCCAUUUUGAAUACUGUGCAAUGUCCCUUUGGGACUGCGUUGGUGAAAGGUGUGGAAAAUUUGGAAAUGACUAUCAUGUUUAUACUCCAAGUUUUUUCGCCUUUCUUCUUUGUACUGGCAUUUUCGCAAUCAUGUAUUUAUAUGACACCUGCUUUGAGAUGUAACUUUCCGUUCCGUUAGGUGUUCCCAAUACUCUCUUGUUCCGUCUUCAUGUUCCUGGCAGUUGUCUCCGUGUUGCCUGGCUGUCUGCAUCAGAAUUUUCAGACCUUAGGUGUCCUUGUAUGCUGGAAAAUUCCUUUUGCUUGUUUUUGCGUAACACAGGUUAGUAGUUUGUUUCUCUGCUUCACUGAUGGCUAACAUUCUUAUAUUUUUUAUUAGAAUGAGGAGGGUUGGUGAAGCUAAGUUUCAAUGAAUACUAACUCAGCCAUGUAUUUUCUUUGGUUACAGGGUCCUUUGAAUUGUUCCUGAAGGCAUGUUUAUUUUUUUAUUGUGCAAUUAAUUUCAAAGCCUAUCUUUAUUGAAAUGUUUUUUCUUUUUAGUUUUAUGUUGUUUUGCUCGAACAAAAUCUGUGGAUAAUAAAUAUGUAAUCAGACUUUUGUUUCACUGUUUCUCAGAAAUAAAGGUCUAUAGUAAA
rnacentral:misc_RNA from 1 species